rnacentral:rRNA from 1 species
UACAGAGGGGGCAAGCGUUAUUCGGAAUUAUUGGGCGUAAAGGAGCGUGUAGGCGGCCAGACAGGUCCGUUGUGAAAACUAGAGGCUUAACCUCUAGACGUCGAUGGAAACCGGUCUGGCUAGAGUCCGGAAGAGGAGAAUGGAAUUCCUGGUGUAGGCGGUGAAAUGCGCAGAGUAUCAGGAGGAACACCGGUGGCGAAGGCGGGUCUCUGGGCAACAACUGACGCUGGAGGAGCGAAAGCGUGGGGAGCGAACAGG